CGAAAUGCGAUAAGUAGUGUGAAUUGCAGAAUUCAGUGAAUCAUCGAAUCUUUGAACGCACAUUGCG
rnacentral:rRNA from 3 species